UACGAAGGGGGCUAGCGUUGUUCGGAUUUACUGGGCGUAAAGCGCACGUAGGCGGCUUUGCAAGUUAGAGGUGAAAGCCCGGGGCUCAACUCCGGAAUUGCCUUUAAAACUGCAUCGCUAGAAUUGUGGAGAGGUAAGUGGAAUUCCGAGUGUAGAGGUGAAAUUCGUAGAUAUUCGGAAGAACACCAGUGGCGAAGGCGACUUACUGGACACAUAUUGACGCUGAGGUGCGAAAGCGUGGGGAGCAAACAGG
rnacentral:rRNA from 1 species